UAUAGAUGGAUCCGCGCUGCAUUAGCUAGUUGGUAAGGUAACGGCUUACCAAGGCAACGAUGCAUAGCCGACCUGAGAGGGUGAUCGGCCACACUGGAACUGAGACACGGUCCAGACUCCUACGGGAGGCAGCAGUAGGGAAUCUUCCGCAAUGGGCGAAAGCCUGACGGAGCAACGCCGCGUGAGUGAUGAAGGUCUUCGGAUCGUAAAACUCUGUUAUUAGGGAAGAACAUAUGUGUAAG
rnacentral:rRNA from 1 species